rnacentral:rRNA from 1 species
CCUACGGGGGGCAGCAGUGGGGGAUAUUGCACAAUGGGGGAAACCCUGAUGCAGCGACGCCGCGUGGGUGAAGAAGGGCCUCGGCGCGUAAAGCCCUGUCAGCAGGGAAGAAAAUGACGGUACCUGAAGAAGAAGCCCCGGCUAACUACGUGCCAGCAGCCGCGGUAAUACGUAGGGGGCAAGCGGUAUCCGGAUUUACUGGGUGUAAAGGGGGCGCAGACGGCGAUGCAAGCCAGGAGUGAAAGCCCGGGGCCCAACCCCGGGACUGCUCGUGGAACUGCGGGGCUAGAGUGCAGGAGGGGCAGGCGGAAUUCCUGGUGUAGCGGUGAAAUGCGUAGAUAUCAGGAGGAACACCGGUGGCGAAGGCGGCCUGCUGGACUGCAACUGACGUUGAGGCCCGAAAGCGUGGGGAGCAAACAGGAUUAGAUACCCGUGUAGUC